UUCGAUCUGUUAGAGCUCGAUCAUCGCCGAUAAAAAGGCUAUGAAGAAACUGUUUGUAAGUCAACUUGAAUGUAAAGACACUCCUGAUGAGCCCAGGCUGCAUACAACAUUGGUUCAAGGCUCUGCUUCUUGCCCUCCAGAAGAUUAAGGUAUCUCAGGAGCA